rnacentral:lncRNA from 1 species
GUGGGGUACAUAGUGGGUUAUUUGGAUCCCAGUGGGGACUUCUGAUUCAAGUAAUAUAUUCUCCAGCUGAUCUUUGGAAGCAUCCCUUCUUGGGGUUUCUAUUCCUCUGGGGUCCCCUCACCUUGGCAGGCUCUCUUGCUUAAUAUUCUUUCAGCAUGGUGGGGCUUACCUUGCGCUCAAGAAUUUACUCUCUUGUGCCCCUCCAAACCAUGGGAAUAUCCUUACUGAACACUCUUUUUUCUUCCGAUACGAUGGAAAGCUCCAGUCAGUGAGUAUGAUGCCCUUGUCACAAGUGCUUCAAAUACUUUAGGAAGGAAAUGGUAGGAAAUAUCUCCCUCCCCUCUUUGUCUUCCUCACAUGAAUUUAUUUCAAAUAAUCCCUUCUAUUAAUCUCUGGCCUUUUUUUAUUCCCCAGCUUGAAAGGGGUUGUAGUCACUAGACUGGUUUUGCUGUCUUUUGUUAAUAUCUCAUAAGGAAGUAUCAGACAUCUCUCUUUAGAAUGUGUGUUUAUCAUCCAUUGAUCUCAGUUUUGAAGCCUUAGCCAAAAUGUUGAAGUACUAGGAAAAGACCUAGUUAACGCUGUUAUUGAAGAGCAGAGACAGGUUCAAAUUGGGCUUACUUACAGAAUACCUACACUACCUGGAACCACCAAAAAUACUUUUAGGGACUAAGAUGGGACUAGAUAGCUGGUUAACGUGGUAAAAAUUCUUUAUACCCAACAACUGUUGAGUAGGCCACAUGGAGAAUACAAAACAUUUAAACUCUAAAAGCUCUUGAGCAAGCUUGAAAGGCAGGAUUUGCAUUCUUAAAACUAUUAGCACAUCAUAAUUGUGCUGUAUAAAAGGGAAGAUGAAAUGGUACAGGUAAACCAUUAUCCAGAAGUUCAGCUGAACACAGGGAAGCAUUAGCCAUUCCUCCUUCUCAUUACUGAGGAGCUGCUGCUUUGUGCCAUGCAUAUUGUCUCAAAUGUCCAAACCAGCUGACUGGGAGCCAUCCCCCAUCAGGGCAAUGCAGUAUUCUCUAUUGAAACAUCAAGAACAAGCAGCAACACAAGAGGAGAACCAUAAUAUUGAGUAUGUGGAAGAGAACUUUUUUGUUUUUCUGAUUUAGUAUGUCCUACAUAGGAUUGCUCCUUUUGAACUGUAUCAGACUUUGAAGCUGGUCUCCCUCAAACUUUUUCAUUAAAGAAUCUCUGCGAGUGGAGAAGUAUAAAUGAUUGAUUACCUCUCAAAGUUCUAGAGGCUUAGCUUGCAGUAGGCUCUCACAAAUUUUAAACAUCUUUGACAGUUUCUAUUUUAUUUUCAAACAUCAUAUGAACUUCACACUUCAGCUACAAUGUAUCUCUGAUGGCUUGAACAUUUGUCCUUUCCAAAACUCAUGUUGAAAUUUAAUUCCUAAUGUGGCAGUAUUGAGAGGGGGGACCUUGGAGAGAUGAUUGGGUCAUGAGAGCUCUGCCCUCAUUAAUGGAUUAAUCCGUUCAUGGAUUCAUGGAUUAAUGGGUUAUCAUGCGAGUGGGACUGGGGGCUUUAUAAGAAGAGGGAGAGACCUGAGCUAGCAUACUCAGACCUCUCACCAUACACUGCCACCUCAGCACUCUGCAGAGUCCCCACCAGCAAGAAGACCCUCACCAGAUGUAGCCUCUUGGACUUCUUGGACUUCUCAGCCUCGGAGCUUGCUUCUCAAGCCCCCAUGGACUUGGACCUUGGACUUCUCAGCCUUCAUAACUAUUAGAAAUAAAUUCAUUUUCUGUAUAAAUUAACCAGUUUCAGGUAUUCAAUUAUGAGCAACAGAAAAUGGACUAAGAUAGUAUCUCUUUGUUUUAAUUUAAAAAAAUACAAUGACUUAAAUUAUUUACCAUCAAAUAAGGCUGUAUCUGUGUAUAUUAUACCCCCAGGUAUACUACUAUAUACCCUAAGGAUUAUACUUCAAUUUGAGAAGAUAAAUGUUACUAUCUUGAGUUAAACAUUAGUUUCUAAGCUUCUUUUAAAUUUAAAUGACACUUCAUGAGAGUUAUGAAAGUUCUUGGCUUUUAAAAGUUAGCAAAGAAGCCUCAGUCUUUAUAUCGUACUGAGAAACACAUUUUAUAAUAAGGGGUAUAAAUAUGAAUAUGUCAUGAAGAACAGUAUCAAUAACACUUGACAGUUUAAUGAACCAGAAUUUUCACAACAUAGCCAUAUAUCCUAGUCCUCGUAAAACAUAUCUCCUAUUUCUUAUCUUGUAACCCCGUUAAAUAGAGGAGGAUUUAAGAUCUCCACUUAAGAGAGAAGGAAACUGAUGUUUACAGUGGUUAAGUGACUUGCCUGUGCUUACAAUUGAUAACUCACUAGCCUGUAAGCUCCAUGAGGGCUGGGACCUUGUCUAUUUUGUAUACAGUUUUAUCUUCGCCCUCCAGCACAAUGCCUGGCAAAUAUUAAGAACUCAAUAAAUGACUAAUAAUUUAAUCUCCAGACUUCUAGCUGUAGCUUUCUUUCCCUAUACAGCGUACUGAAUAAUUCUUCCCAGAAGGAUACAGCAGAAAGAAGACCAAUUGAAGAACCAAAGCAAAAAUCUGUCCUCUUUUCCAAUUUUCUAAGGACUAGCUCUGAAAUCCUGUAUCAGGAAAGGAAACAAAACUAUAACAUUCAUUUUCUCUUCUAGAGCUGAGAUUUUUUUUGUAGCUGAAUUUGUCACACUUUUUUUUAAGUGACAUCCCUUACCAAAGACAUAAUACUUAAAAGUACAGGUGCUAAGGUAGACAUGAAAAUGAAUGACCUCAUGGAUUUUUUGGUGUUUCUAAACAACUUGCUGUGAAAGAAGGGCAUUCCAUAUGGUGAACUCAAAUGCCCCUACACCAGGGUCAGCCUUCAUGGUAAACAGUAAAAGGUCUGGAUUGCCUUGUUAAAACUGAACUAAGCAACAAACUCUUAGAGACUUAGAAAAUCAGCACAGAUGUUCUUCCAUGUCCCAGAGUUGUCACUGCCGUUCAGUACCAUUACUGUAGCUUAAUGACAUGGGAGCGUGGGGUCCUGAGGAAGUCAAUAAAAGAGCAUAUGAAGAAAAUGAUAAAAAGAGAUCCAUGAGCAGAAGGAAAUGAGUUUAUUCUUACCAUGGAGUAGAUGAAAUUAAACAAUUUUGCUCCUGAACACUGAACAGAUGAUCAUAUAUUGUCUCCUCUCCAUUGAGUGGGGAAAAAAGGCAUCACUUUCACUUCUUGGUUUAUACCAUGAUGGAAACCAUAAUCAUUGCAAACUGAACAGUGAAGACUAUAUCUAGUUGAGAAGAGUAUUAGGGACCUAUGGAAAUCCAUUUAUGCAUUCCCGUUGGGUACUACCAAGCAUCCAAUCAUAUUACAGUUUCACAGACCACAUCAUAAUUCAGGGAGUCUCGGAUUCAAAAGCAGAAGACCUGCGUUUUUCAGAUCCUCAUUCUGCCUCUCACUAACUACUGGGACCUCUGGCAUAUCACUUAAAAUCUCUAAAUCUCUCCUUUCUGCAAUUUGUGUCUAUGGGAAAAAUAAACCUGACUUCUCAUGCCAUUUUGAAGAUUUCAAUGGGAAAAUAGAAAAGAAAGCUGUUUGUAAACUGUAAAGCACUCUAUAACUCUCAGAUGGUAUUAUUGUGACUGUCUCCUCUCCUAUUAUUACCCACUUCAGACGGAAGCAUUAAAGAGGCAAGGGCGGGAAGGAGGAGGUAUGACAUAAAGCCAUUUCUGCCCAGGUAUGAUUUUGCCUUGCAUCAGGAACAUUUUUGUAGACAGAUAAAUAAAAUUGCCCUUAUCUGAUGUACAAGGUAAGUACAAUUUUAUUUUACUUAUUUGUCUACAAAAUGUGAGGUGCCUUGCAUGCUUCGUCUCAUUUCAUCCUCUCAACUUUAUAAAACCCAUUUUCUUAUGAAGAAAUGAGACUUAAAGAGGUUACAUUAUUCACCCAUGGCCACACAUCCCUUAGGAGAGAGCUGGAAUUUAAAUCCAGUCACCUGACUCCAGAGACCUCUCCGUGAGGUGCUACAGGGUAUGCACCUAUGGCAAUAGGUUGCAUAGAUCUAAUGCUACAAUUUUUAAAACUUUUCUACGGUGAAAUAUAUAUACACCAACAAUACAUUAAAAUGCAUAACCUAAUGAAUUAUUGCAAAGGAAAAACUCAUCACCUCAAGAAAAACACAUCAAGAAGUACAGCACUGCCACCUCCCAGAAGCUCUUUGUUUUCCGACUCUUACUCUCCCCAAAGACAAUCACUAUCCUUGCUUUUACAGCAAUUGUCUUAAUGGCUUCACCAUGCAAGUUUGCAAUCACUAAACACUGUAGCUUAGGUUUACUUAUAUUUUAAUUUUACGUAACUGGAGUAAUAUAGUAUACAUAUAGCAUACAAUUUUUUGGUCUGACUUCUUUUGAUCAUGUUUAUGAGAUUUCAUUUUUUUUUACCACUUUGUGGCUUGUUUCGGUUUUUUUAACUUUCAAAAAUGGUGUCUUUUGAGGAAUAGAAUCUCUUAAUUUUAAUACAGUUAAAUGGCUUAUCAACAUUUCCCUUUUAACAGGAAUUUAUCAACAUUUCCUUUUCAGUUAGUGCUUUUGUGUUCUUAUUAAAAAAUCGUUCCCGUUUCUGAAAUCAUGAAGAUAGUCACCUAAAUUAUCUUCUGAAACAUUGUUUUACCUUUCAUAUUUAUCACAACAAUCCACUCUAAUUGUUUUAUGUGUAUGAUAAUGGGCUAGAGGUCAAGGGUUUUUUUCCCCCCACAUUGUAUCCAGUUUUCUUAGCACUACCAAUUGAACAGAUCAUCUUUCCUCAUUACUCCAAAGUGCUACCUUUAUCACAAAUCACGUGUCUUUAUAUGCACUGGUAUGUUUCUGAGCUUUCUCUUCUCUUCCAUUAGUCUAUACAUCUAUCCUUACAUCUGUCCCCUCCCUUUUAGUUGACUAUCAUCUUAUAAGAAGUCUUGGUUUUCUUUAAGAUGAUGUUGGUUACUCCUGGCCUUUUGAAUUUUCAUAUACACUUCAGAAUAAGCUUGUCAAGUUUUACAAUAAAACGUUUGAGAUUCUUAUUGAGAUUAUAUAGAAUUUAGAGAUCAAUUUGAGAAUAAUUGGUAUCUUUACAAAAUUGAGUAUUCGAAUCUGUGAACCUGGUAUAUCUUUCUCUCCAUUGGUGAGGGGCAGGGAAGUGUGGGUUUCAUUAAUUUCCAUUAGUAAUGUUUUGUAAUUUUCUACUUUUACCUUCUUCCUAAAUAAUCCAAGUGCCUUGAAGUACUUUUACAUCUUUAUACUUUCCUAACUUAUGUACUUUUAUUGUCAUAUAUUUUUAUUGUUUGUUUAUUUUAAAUCACACAAUAAAAUGUUUAAACAGCUUA